rnacentral:rRNA from 1 species
UUUUGUACAAUGGGCGCAAGCCUGAUCUAGCCACGCCGCGUGAGUGAAGAAGGCCCUCGGGUUGUAAAGCUCUCUCGCACGGAAAGAAAAAUCGCACGCGAAUAGCCUUCGCGCAUGACGGUACCGUCAUAAGAAGCACCGUCUAACUCCGUGCCAGCAGCCGCGGUCAUACGUAGGGUGCGAGCGUUAUCCGGAAUUACUGGGCGUAAAGCGUGCGCAGGCGGUUGAUUAAGACAGGCGUGAAAUCCCCGGGCUUAACCUGGGAACUGCGCUUGUGACUGGUCAGCUAGAGUACGGCAGAGGGGGGUGGAAUUCCACGUGUAGCAGUGAAAUGCGUAGAGAUGUGGAGGAACACCGAUGGCGAAGGCAGCCCCCUGGGCCGAUACUGACGCUCAUGCACGAAAGCGUGGGUAGCAAACAGG